UCUCUGGCGGUCCAGUGGUUGGGACUUAGCACUUUCACUGCCAUGGCCUGGGGUUCAAUCCCUGGUCAGGGAA
rnacentral:tRNA from 1 species